rnacentral:rRNA from 1 species
GACGAACGCUGGCGGCGUGCUUAACACAUGCAAGUCGAGCGGUAAGGCCCUUCGGGGUCCACGAGCGGCGAACGGGUGAGUAACACGUGAGUAAUCUGCCCAUCACUUCGGGAUAACUCCGGGAAACCGGUGCUAAUACCGAAUAUGACCACUUCAGGCAUCUGAUGGUGGUGGAAAGUUCCGGCGGUGAUGGAUGAGCUCGCGGCCUAUCAGCUUGUUGGUGGGGUAGUGGCCUACCAAGGCUUCGACGGGUAGCCGGCCUGAGAGGGUGACCGGCCACACUGGGACUGAGACACGGCCCAGACUCCUACGGGAGGCAGCAGUGGGGAAUAUUGGACAAUGGGCGAAAGCCUGAUCCAGCAACGCCGCGUGAGGGAUGACGGCCUUCGGGUUGUAAACCUCUUUCAGCAGGGACGAAGCGCAAGUGACGGUACCUGCAGAAUAAGCACCGGCCAACUACGUG